GGGCUGGAGAAGGUCCCAAGGGUCCGGCUGUUCGCCGGUUAAAGUGGUACAUGAGCUGGGUUCAGAACGUCGUGAGACAGUUCGGUCUGUAUCCGCUGUGGGCGUUGGAGAGUUGAGGGGCGCGGACUCUAGUACGAGAGGACCGAGUCGGACGAUCCGCUCGUGUCCCGGCUGUGACGCCAGUUGCAACGCCGGGUAGCGAUGAUCGGUACAGAUAACCGCUGAAAGCAUCUAAGUGGGAAGCUGUCCCCAAGAUGAACUCUCCCUGGUGCCUCGAGCACCCUGAAGGGCCGUCGGAGACUACGACGUCGAUAGGUCGCCCGUGGAAGCGCAGCAAUGCGUUCCGAGCGUAGCGAUCCUAAUCGCCCGUGAGGCUUGACUAC
rnacentral:rRNA from 1 species